rnacentral:rRNA from 1 species
GAUGAACGCUGGCGGUGUGCCUAAUACAUGCAAGUCGAACGAGCUCUUCGGAGCUAGUGGCGGACGGGUGAGUAACACGUUGGUACCUGCCUCGAAGUGGGGAAUAACUGCCCGAAAGGGUGGCUAAUACCGCAUGUGACCGCAAGGUUAAAGCAGUAAUGCGCUUCGAGAGGGGCCUGCGUCCCAUUAGCUUGUUGGUAGGGUAAAAGCCUACCAAGGCGACGAUGGGUAGCUGGAUCGAGAGGUUGACCAGCCACACUGGGACUGAGAUACGGCCCAGACUCCUACGGGAGGCAGCAGUAAGGAAUUUUCCACAAUGGACGAAAGUCUGAUGGAGCAACACCGCGUGCAGGAUGACGGCCUUCGGGUUGUAAACUGCUUUUAUAUGGGAAGAUUAUGACGGUACCAUAUGAAUAAGCACCGGCUAACUACGUGCCAGCAGCCGCCGUAA